rnacentral:rRNA from 1 species
CCCUUAGAUGUCCGGGGCCGCACGCGCGCUACACUGAAGGAAUCAGCGUGGCUUUCUCCCUGACCCGAAAGGGUUGGGAAACCCGUUGAAUCUCCUUCGUGAUAGGGAUUGGGGCUUGAAAUUGUUCCCCAUGAACGAGGAAUUCCCAGUAAGCGCGAGUCAUAAGCUCGCGUUGAUUACGUCCCUGCCCUUUGUACACACCGCCCGUCGCUACUACCGAUUGAACGGUUUAGUGAGGCCUUCGGAUCCGCGACUCGUUUUGUGGAGAAGUUGGACAAACUCAGUCAUUUAGAGGAAGUAAAAGUCGUAACA